UACGUAGGUGGCAAGCGUUUGUCCGGAAUUAUUGGGCGUAAAGCGCGCGCAGGCGGUCCUUUUAAGUCUGAUGUGAAAGCCCACGGCUCAACCGUGGAGGGUCAUUGGAAACUGGGGGGACUUGAGUGCAGGAGAGAAAAGUGGAAUUCCACGUGUAGCGGUGAAAUGCGUAGAGAUGUGGAGGAACACCAGUGGCGAAGGCGACUCUUUGGCCUGUAACUGACGCUGAGGCGCGAAAAGCGUGGGGGAGCAAACAGG
rnacentral:rRNA from 1 species